rnacentral:rRNA from 1 species
GAUCCUGGCUCAGGACGAACGCUGGCGGCGUGCUUAACACAUGCAAGUCGAACGAGAAUCUACGGAAAGAGGAUUCGUCCAAUUGAAGCAGAGGACAGUGGCGGACGGGUGAGUAACGCGUGAGGAACGUGCCGUUUCAGAGGGGGACAACAGUUGGAAACGACUGCUAAUACCGCAUGACACAUUGGGGUCGCAUGGCCCCGAUGUCAAAGAUUUUAUCGCUGAAAGAUGGCCUCGCG